AUCAAUAUCGGUGAAUUUCUAAAUUUGACCCAGCUGGAUCUGAGCUUCAAUAACAUCACAGGACAGGUUCCGGGAUCACUUUUCAAUCUGAGUUUG